CUUGAUUUCUCUCAGAACUGUUAGUGUGAAUGUAUUUGAUCAGUUUGCCUUGAAGUAAUGCACCUUUAUUCUUUGAAGGUGGAACAUCAACAGAAAGGGAGUACUUUCAUUAUAUCCAGCUCCAACUGCACAUUGACUCCUAGAGGAAAAAUGGUCUCUGCUGUAAACUGGUGGCAAAUACUACCAUACAGCCAAAAGUAAGCAUGGUCAUCACAUACAACCAUAUAUUCCUAUAUAAGUAUUCCUUUGUGAUGUGCUACUAUUGAUUUGUGGUGUUGGGUAUGAUGUGUGGAUUUUAUGUGCAUGUACCUGACACCAUGAAGUUCCUACAGGAAAAAACGUUCUAUGUGCUAUAUGACCAGCUACAGUAUCUCAGUCUCUCUGUUGCUGUCUAUAUUUGGCUAAUAUUAUUUUUCAUCUUGUGUUGCAGAGUGGGCAGUUUGAUUAUGACUAUAGCCCAAACUUCAACCCCACAUUUCAGGUGUUUUUGGACUGCAUGUCGGGUGCAGAGAACAUCAGACUGAGUCUUUUAGACAGAGGAAGUAACAACCAAAGAGUGUGGGAGUGUCUAAUUCCAACAGAUUUCGAACCACCUCAAGUCAAUCUGAUCAACCCUAAUCCUGGUGCUGAGGCUGAAUUGAACCAGCUCUCGGAUGCAGCGUUUGUGGAUAAGCAUAUGGCUGAUCUCAUUCAGAGGGUCACGAUGGUGCUGCAUGUAGCAGAUGACCUGCUUGUGGAGGAGAUGAUCCCAGAUGAAUUGUACUCAAGAAUCCUCAGGGCUUGGACCAGUUAGGAACAAAUGAGACUACUGUUGGAUGCUGUACAAGCAGGAGGAACAAGAGUGAAAUCUGCCUUCUACAAAGCUCUCCUUAACCAUGAACCUCGUCUUGUCCAGGACCUGGGUAAGAUCAAAUUCCUCCUGUCCCCUGUAUCUCAGUUGGUAGAACAUGGACAUGCAACGCCAGGAUAGUGGGUUUGAUUCCCAGGAGCGCCCAUUCGUAAAAAUAUAUGCAGAAAUAUAUUUAGUCCCUUUGGAUAAAAGUGUAUGAUAAAUGUCAUAUAUUUUAUUAUUAUUGCUCUCCCACUAUGAGUACCUGAAACAUGGAGGGACAUUAGAACGGCCCCUGAAACUUGCAAAGCUUCCCAAAAUAACCAUAAUAUUUCAAAUAGACGGCCCGCACUUAGGGCUUGUACAGACAGAAUACAUUUUGUGGACAGAGAGUAUAUUGUUCCCAUAGUGUGUAUUCAGAGUGUGUGUUCAGAGUGUGUAUUCCCAUAGUGUGUAUUCGUAGGUGUGUAUUCUUAUGUGUGUAUUCAGAGUGUGUAUUAUCAUAGCGUGUAUUCGCAUGUGUGUAUUCAGAAUGUGUAUUCUCAUAGUGUGUAUUCUUAUGUGUGUAUUCAGAG
rnacentral:lncRNA from 1 species